rnacentral:rRNA from 1 species
AACCUCCGCAAUGUGAGAAAUCGCGACGGGGGGAUCCCAAGUGCCAUUCUUAACGGGAUGGCUUUUCAUUAGUGUAAAGAGCUUUUGGAAUAAGAGCUGGGCAAGACCGGUGCCAGCCGCCGCGGUAACACCGACAGCUCUAGUGGUAGCAAUUUUUAUUGGGCCUAAAGCGUCCGUAGCCGGUUUAAUAAGUCUCUGGUGAAAUCCUGUAGCUUAACUGUGGGAAUUGCUGGAGAUACUAUUAGACUUGAGACCGGGAGAGGUUAGAGGUACUCCCAGGGUAGAGGUGAAAUUCUGUAAUCCUGGGAGGACCGCCUGUUGCGAAGGCGUCUAACUGGAACGGUUCUGACGGUGAGGGACGAAAGUUAGGGGCGCGAACCGGAUUAGAUACCCGGGUAGUCCUAACUGUAAACGAUGCGGACUUGGUGUUGGGGUGGCUUUGAGCUGUCUCAGUGCCGAAGGGAAGCUGUUAAGUCCGCCGCCUGGGAAGUACGGUCGCAAGACUAGAAACUUAAAGGAUU